rnacentral:misc_RNA from 1 species
AAGUCGUAACAAGGUUUCCGUAGGUGAACCUGCGGAAGGAUCAUUAUAGAAGAUGCUUCUACACCGUGAACCGUAGCUUCGGCUAUACACACUCUAUGUUGUCUUGCAUGUGACCUAAUAAUAUAACUUUCAACAACGGAUCUCUUGGCUCCCA